CAGCCACUUCUUACAGCUCUUCCGGGGGGAUCCCGAGGCUUUCCCAGGCCAGCUGAAAGACGUAGUCUCUCCAGCAUGUCCUGGGUCGUCCCCGGGGUCUCUUCCCGGUGGGACGUGCCCGGAACACCUCACCAGAGAGGCGUCCGGGAGGCAUCCGAAUCAGAUGCCCCAGCCACCUCAUCUGGCUCCUCUCAAUGCGGAGGAGCAGCGGCUCUACUCUGAGCCCCUCCCGGAUGACCGAGCUUCUCACCCUAUCGCUAAGGGAGAGCCCGGACACCCUGCGGAGGAAACUCAUUUUGGCCGCCUGUAUCCGGGAUCUUGUUCUUUCGGUCACGACCCACAGCUCGUGACCAUAGGUGAGGGUAGGACCGUAGAUCGACCGGUAAAUUGAGAGCUUCGUCUUUCGGCUUAGCUCCUUCUUCACCACAAUGGAUCGAUACAAAUUCCGCAUCACUACAGAUGCUGCACCGAUCCGUCUGUCGAUCUCACGUUCCAUUCUUCCCUCACUCGUGAACUAGACCCCAAGAUACUUGAACUCCUCCACUUGGGGCAGCAUGACAUCCCCUACCUGGACAGGGCACGCCACCCUUUCCGACUGAGGACCAUGGUCUCAGAUUUGGAGGUGCUGAUUCUCAUCCCAGCCGCUUCACACUCGGCUGUGAACUGCUCCAGUGAGAUCGGGGCCGACAAUCUUAAAUAAUGAGCGUGUCACAUCUCCCAAGUCAUGAUGCCGAGAAUUGUGACGUGAACCGGAAUGUAGCCAAUCAAAGAAGUGUCCUAUCCUGAUGAACACGGAAAUUAGCGUAAAUUAAAACAAACGCGUUUUAGCAGAUUUUGUUUUAUUUUGUAUAAAAGUGAGUUCCCCAGGCGGCAAGAAGUAUUUUCCAAAGCAAGUUUUUUUUUUUUUUUUUAAUCUCUCUACACCACUUCUGCCUCCAUUCCCUUCGGCAUCACUCAGCAAAGAUCUGCGCAUACCCGCAGGUGUCUGACUGUCUUCGUUUUUGUGAGAUUACGUGUGAUCAUGCAAGAUUUCAAGAUCGGUGGUGGAACAGAAUCCUUAUGUGUGUGUUGUUUUGUGUUGAGAGUUUUAGAACACAGCACACACAAUUCAAUUUAUCUUUAUGUGUGGGGUCUGUGAAAGAUUGAAAAAAAAAUAUUUUAAGAUUUGAAAAAUACUUUUGUGUGUACCAGGGCUUGUGUGUUAACUGUCUUUGCAGUACAGUACUCAAUUUCCUUUCGCUAAACUAAUGUUUUUGAGUCAACCUGUCCUGGAUUUUUCAUUUGACAUUUAAUCUUUCACAAUCUGGCUUGUUACAUAUGCUGACUCACAUUUGUUUGCUUCAUGUCCGCAUAGCAGAACAAAAGCCAGGAGUACGCUGGCUCUAAAGCAAUAGUCUCAAACUAAAGGCCAGUGGGCCACAUCCGGCCUGCAACAUCACUUUACGUGGUUCACUUUAGCAAAUAAAGUCAUUAUACUUAAUGUUUUUUUGCGAAUUUGUUGUUUUCACAGUAUCGCAAUAUCUAUAACCAAAUUGCAAUUUUUAUUAUUAACCAAUUUAGCAUUGUUUUGUUAGUCACUUUAUAACGUUGGCAAAACCAUGGCAACAUGUCCUUUCGAUAACAUGUCCAGUGAUUUUAUUCUUGUCAGUAGGAGCACUUUGCAAAUUAAUAAAACAGGCAAACGAUUUGAUCUGCAGAGAAUUUUCAUCCAGUAUACACAGGACUGUGCAAAAGUCUUAGGACACCACUAGCUUUGUUUUUUUUAAACCUUUUUCACAGUAGCCAAUAUGCCUUGUAAAAGGGAGGGCAGUGAAGUGUGCAUUUUGACCAUGUAAGUCAAUACGAUCCAUUGUAACUGUCCAACACCCAGAAUCAUAUUGGCACUUCCCAUCGCUAACUAACAAAUAGAUGGACAAACUGAAAUUCAAAGCUUUAUGAAUUGUUUUUACAUAUCAGAAUCUGCACUCGCGGCACGGUGGCCGACUGGUUAGAGCGUCAGCCUCACAGUUCUGAGGUGCGGGGUUCAAUCCCCGUCCCCGCCUGUGUGGAGUUUGCAUGUUCUCCCCGUGCCUGCGUGGGUUUUCUCCGGGCACUCCGGUUUCCUCCCACAUCCCAAAAACAUGCAUUAAUUGGAGACUCUAAAUUGCCCGUAGGCAUGACUGUGAGUGCGAAUGGUUGUUUGUUUCUAUGUGUCCUGCGAUUGGCUGGCAACCAGUUCAGGGUGUACCCCGCCCCUUGCCCGAUGACAGCUGGGAUAGGCUCCAGCACGCCCGCGACCCUAGUGAGGAGAAGCGGCUCAGAAAAUGGAUGGAUGGAUGGAAUCUGCACUCCUUUUUUUUACCUGACAAAAUAAAAAAAAUUCCAAAAGUGUGAGUACUUUUGCCCGCUUUUAAUUGGUGACAAAUGACCAACAUUUUUGUUAAUUUUGUAUCACGUUUGCACAGCUGUAAUAUAUUUUGUUUCCUAAGGUUCUCCAUACAUUUUUAAUUUUUUUCAAACUAGGCCACCGAGCUGCGCAUGCGCAGUGUGGAUUUUUGAGGCGGGUUCCAUCCAUUUUGCAGAUUGGGAAACAACCACAUGCCGAGGCAAUUGAGAAGUCUGUGUUAUUGCCAUUAGUUCUGCGUUAGUUCCUUGUUCUGUCCAUUAUCGAUGCCGUAUAACUAAUAAACAUCUCUCUAUAACUCCACCUCCAGUGCACUUUGAGCGUUCGCAACUUUGCUCGCUAGCUGCGAACAAAGAGACACUAAAGUGGGCGACAUUUCAACGCAAGCGGAGCUCAAGUUACAGUUCGUUACGUUCCACCUCUGGGAAAUGGCAAGGAGCUGCUGCGUCACCAACUGCCACAACUGAUUCCACGAUUACCAAGGACAACGGAUCAACCCGGGAAUCGGCUUUUAUCGGUUCCCGGCAUGGAGGAGAAACAGCACCGGGCACGUCUCUGAUGUGACCAAGAGACGACGCAUGCCGUGGAUGGCAGCGGUACGGAGGCCCAACAUCACCUUCAACCACACUCCCCCUAUAUAUGGGGGAGUGUUCAAAGCAUUUUCACAAAGGCAAACCAGCCUAUGAAAUGCUUGAACGUGAUCCUGACUGGGUGCCUUCUCUAAACCUCGCCCAUUCGGAGGCCAUCACUGCAAACCCCGUAAGGUUUCAACAUUUGAAACGGAGGGAGAUGAGAUCCCAACAACAACAACAAGCAUCUGCAGUACAAGAGAAUGAAUCCUGGCCACCCUGACUACACUGGUGAUGCAGCUCCUUUAUAUUCUGAUGUCAGUAAAGAAGAUCUUCAUCCUGAGAAGCAGAAGUGGUGGUCCAGGGUGGGGAAGCAGCCGCCAGAGCCCCCCCACGUUAAAGAGGAAGAGGAGGAGACCCAUAUCACCAUGCCUACAUUUAAUCGUGUCAUUGUGAAGAGUGAAGAUGACGACGAUGAAGAAGGUGAUGGAGACCACUGUGAUGGAUCCCAAGCAGACAGCCUCUUGGCUCCAUCAUCAGAUAGUGAAGACAGAAUAUCACACUCUCGUGACACUGAUGAUGAUGAUGAACACCCUAAAGGUGAUAUGACAUGUCACAUGGACAACAAACACUUGAAAUGCUCUCAGUGUGGGAAAACAUUUGGUAACAAGAAAAUACUGAAAAGACACAUGAUGACGCACACCGGAGAGAAACCUUUUGCAUGCUCAUUUUGCAGUAAAACAUUUUCUCAGAAGGGAAACUUGAGAACACACAUGAGAACACACACUGGAGAGAAACCCUUUUCCUGCUCAGUCUGCGACAAACGUUUUAGUGAUGGUUCAGCAUUGAUUCAACACCAGAAAACACACACUGGGGAGAAACAAUUCAUUUGCUCACUUUGUGGUAAAGGUUUCGCCCAGAAGGGAAAUUUUACUACACACACAAGAACACACACUGGAGAAAAACCUUUUUCUUGUUCAGUCUGCAGCACCUGUUUUAACGACAGUUCAGCAAUGGCGCGACACAUGAGAACACACACAGGAGAGAAACCUUUUUCCUGCUUAUUCUGUGGUAAAAGGUUCUCCCUAAAGGGGAAUUUUGUAGCACACACAAGAACACACACAGGAGAAAAACCUUAUUCCUGUUCAAUCUGCCAAACAGGUUUUAGAGUUCGUUCAGGUUUGGUUCAGCACAUGAAAAAACAUGCUAGUGUCCGUGCUUAGCUGCAGUAAGCGUGUGUCAUUUAAAACUAGCAGGUGUCUCAUUUCUGACUGCUAUUUGCUGAGUUGAAGAAUUAUUUGUUUUUCAUAGACCCUCUGCUGUGGCAGUGUUUUCCAACCUUCAUUGAUCCAAGGCACAUUAUAUAUUAUUAUUAUAAAAUCGCCCAGCACACAACCAAUCCAAAAACAUUUUUUAAAGUAUAAAUACUGAAAUAAUGAGGAUGUCGUUCAAUAAACUUACAAAUGUACUUGUACUGUUUAGUGGAACACAAAUCUAUUAUUUUGCUGUAUGAUUGGAAACUGAUGGACACGUUAAUUAUGCCUUCUGCCAUCUUUUUUAAGCGCAUUUAAUUUUUCUGCCUGUCACUCCAUAAAGGUUGCUGGCAUAGAUAGAUGAAAAAUUAUACAUCAUUUGUAGUAAGUGAAUAAUUUUCAGACCAAGUUGCUUACCUAAAGAUCUCGCAGUCUCACAACACAAUAAUGUGCCAACAAUAGUUGGCCUUCCCUGUGCUAUGAUAUGCUUUUUUGUCAUUGUAGUUGUUUUCUAUACAUACAUAUAUUAUUGCAUUUAUUUCUUUUUUUUUUAACUCUGCAGUGCUGGACUUGUCAUUAAGAAAGAAAAAAAAUCAGCUGUCACAAUGAUAUGGCCAAUAGAGUUAGUGGAGAGUAACAAUGUGUCAUGUUGACUACUUUACAAAGUCUACAAUGUAGAUGUCAAUUCAAACCAAAGGUUUUCUGAGACUGUCUGGAUCUAGUCAAAUUUUUACUUCUUCCUACACUUUUUCAGAACGGCAGUCAUGGUGUUUCAGUACAGGAUAUUUAUACCAGGAUGACAAAAUUCAUUUUGACUUUUCUACUCGGCACAUUUCAGAGUCUCCUUUUUUCAAGAGUUGAAUCAGUCUUACUUUCACCAGUCUUAUUUUUAAGACAAGUAUCUGUACUUCUAAAAGUACAGACUACAGUCUAACUACUUUUGCCACCCAUUUUGCACAUCCCUUUCAUGCCAUUAUUGCUGUCGUCUUUGUUGCUUUGUCACUGAAUCAUUUUGUACACAUCUGUUGUUGAUCAGCUCAGCUCUUAAUUAAAGCGCGAUUUUUUUUAUUAUAAUUUUUUGUAUUCAAUGGUGUCCCUCAAGGGGAAAUUUAAGUCACACUCCAAUGCAUACUUUGUGUUGCACAAUGCACAUCAUGCACAGUUAAUGAGUCUCUCUUCAAUACAGCUGUGUAGGCUAUAGAUCCUAAAUGUAUAUUUUGUUAUCGUGAUUUUUUUUUAAAUGUAGUAAUAAGGUGACAACACGUUUUAACAUAUUUGCCCCUCCCCCCCAAAAAAUGCUCUGAUUCUGAUAAAGUUCAAGAGUGUAAUGACACCUCCUCACCCGUAGGAGCGGUAGUGCUCUGAAAUGUAACGGGGCGGGACUCGCCUACCGAAAGUAAAACCAGGAAGCAAACAAUCAGUAACAUCCGGGUUUUAGUGUUCAUGCUAGCAAAAUGACUCGUUUUUUGUGUGUGUGUGUGUGUGUUUAGCAACGUAUCAUUAAAGCAAAGCUCGAGUGAAAGUGUAGUGUUGUGAAUAUCGUGUGGAAAAUGUGCAAAGUAGAAAUGCUGAGAGCAUUAUUGAAUCAGCGACUAAGUGCGGCCGUUGACGAAAUAUUUGUAGCGUUUGCAAGAACCAUAGCAGAGUACGAGGACGAACUUUCUCGGACAAAAGAGCAGAACGAGAGACAACGUCAACUACUGGACGCUGUUUUCAAGAAGCCGCAAAACGGAGAAGACAUCAGUGAAGAUCUUCAUCCUGAACUGCAGAAGUGGCGCACCACGUUGAGGCAGCGGGAGCCAGAACGCCCCCACAUUAAGUAUGAAGAUGCGGCGCUGGAGCCCUUCCAUGUUAAAGAGGAUGAGUCUAAUGUCACCAAGUUGCCAUUCACUGGUGUCAUUGUGAAGAAUGAGGAUGAUGUAGACGAAGACCACUGCAGAGGAUCCCAAGCAGACAGCCGCUUAGUUUCACAAUCAGAUUGCGACUACGUAACGUCACACUCUCCUAACACUCAUGAUGAUGAUGAUGAACACUCUAAAGGUGAUAUGACAUGUGACGUUGACAACAAACAUUUGAAAUGCUCUCAAUGUGGGAAAACCUUUGGCAUCAAGAGAAUCCUGAAAAGACACAUGAUGACUCACACUGGAGAGAAACCUUUUGCAUGCUCAUUUUGUGGUAAAAAAUUCUCUCAGAAGGGAAACCUAAGAACUCACAUAAGAACACACACUGGAGAAAAACCCUAUUCCUGCUCAGUCUGUGACAAAUGUUUUAGUGAUGGUUCAGCAUUGAUUCAACACCAGAAAACGCACACAGGGGAGAAACCUUUUUCCUGCUUAUUCUGUGGUAAAAGAUUUUCCCUAAAGGGGACUUUUGAAGCACACACAAGAACACACACGGGAGAAAAACCUUAUUCCUGUUCAAUCUGCCAAACAGAUUUUAGAGUUCGUUCAAGUUUGGUUCGGCACAUGAAAAAACAUGUUAAGGUGCUUAGCUAGAGUCAGUGUGUGUGAUAUAAAACUAGCAGGUGUCUCAUUUACAACUGGUAUUUACCCAGUUAAAGAAUCAUUUGCUUUUUAUAGGCCCUUUGCUGUGGCAGUUUUUCCCCAACCUUCAAUGAGCUGAGGCACAUAUUCUUCAUUAGAAAAAGCUCACGGCACACCACCAAUCAAAAAUGUCAUAAAAAGUAUAGAUACUGAAAUAAUGAGGAUGUUGUUCAGCUGGCUUACUUGCUCACUCGGUUAUCUGGACCUGUUUAGUUGAACACAAAGAAAGCUAUUAUUUUGUUGUUUGAAUGGCAACUAGUAGACAGAUUAAUUCAGGGAUGGGCAAUUUAAAUGAUGGCGGGGGCCACAAUUUUUUUGUCAGUGCUGUCAGGGGGCCACAUGGGAACGUGAUUUCCUUGUCGAGUUUUGUCUUACUGCAGAUCUCUGCCAUUACGUCAUUACUCGCACUGAUCUGUAUUGGUAGAUAUGAAACGUCCAUUUUGAGCUCCGGGCAAGCAGCCAUGCUCAGCUAGGGAGGUCAAUGUCAUCAGUGCAUUCCAUGUGUGUGGAUGGAAAGAAAACCAAAAGACCCAAGGAUACCAGUACAUUGUGCUGCAUACAAUUACAAUUGAACUGGGAGUCCCUUUAUAUAAAAAAGAAAAAGUUUGUUGCUUUUUCAAAAGUCCUUUAUUGAUAGCAUACAUUUUGCCGUUGACAAAACAGUAACUCUCAUGAAAAUUGAUUGAGAAAUUAUCAAUUUAGGUUAAUUUCAGUGGCCAUGGAUUGCCUUCAGUAGGAACGUCGACCUCCCCAACAUGGCCACCACUUAGGCACGUUGCGGGCGACUAGAGCGCGUGGGCAUAACUAGUGUACAUAUCUAUGAUUACGCUCUCUUCCUGCUGAUUUUCAUCAUGGCGAGAUCUGCUGUAUUGACGCAUGGUGUUAUUACAACAUAAAACUGUUUUGUUAUGGCAGAGGAAAUGUAUUUAUCAUUAAAAAAAACAAUCAUCCAGGGGCCACUUUGAGUGUAAGCGCUGGCCACGUUUCCUCUACCAAGGUAUUAUUUUUUGGCUGACCGCACAAAGAGGGGGAGAUGAGGAUAGUGGUUAAAACAGGUGAGAACAUGAUCAGGUGGUCAAGAAGAAUAUAAUAUAGGCAUCUUUUAGAUGGUGGUUCGGGACGCAGAAGUGGGUAGCGGCCUCAUUUUGGGUGGUAACAAACAGCUAGUUAAAAUGUAUAUGGUCAUACUCAUGUUCUGAUUGUUUCAGUACAUUACAGAGGCGUGCAUAGUUCGCACAUGGAACAUAUUAGAUCAGCCAAGUUACAGGAAAUGUUACUCACUUGUGCUUUAGUCACUGGUUUACUCUGUAAACAAAAAGAGUGCAGCUCAGCCUCUGGCUAGUGGGCGUCCUGGCUAGCGAUAUGCUUUUGCCGGUAUGUCCAACUAAUUGGAAAUGGCUAUUUUUAAACAAAAUAAUUGUUUUUAUUGUCUUUAUAUAAAAGUGGGUCAUGACUUUGCAACAAUAGGAAAAUGUGUGACAACAGUUGAGAACCACUUUGAGACCACAUUUAUUGGUUUGCCAAUAUUUAUCUACUCAAUUUUUAAAAUCUGCCCUGUCCCACUCACUGCACAUGGCAAUUUUCCAUAUUUACCAUGUAUAGUUUACAUCGAAAAUCUAUGUGUUUUAGAAACUGUGCAAAUUCAAAAAAAAAAAGAUAAAUACAACAUGGUCAUUGUUUGAGUGUAAAUGACCCAAAGGAAUUUUAGAAACCUCAAAUUUGUUGUUACAGUUCACUUCAAUUUAAUAAUUCCUUCAUUCAAAAUCUUUUUACCCUUUAUCACUUAAGAGGUGCAGAACUGCAUUAUUUACGUCACACUGUCAUCUAUUGGCUCAGACAUGCAACAACAUAAGUCACAGAAUCUUGCACUGCGAGCCAUAAGUGCUAUUAUGAUAAUUAUUUAUUUAAAUCGAGUCGACUGGAGUCACUGUGGGAGCACGGUGAACCACUGGUUAGCACAUCUGCCUCAGUUCUGAGGACCCGGGUUCAAAUCCGGCCUCGGCUGUGUGGAGUUUCGAUGUUCUCCCCUUGCCUGGGUGGGUUUUCUCCGGUUACUCCGGUUUCCUCCCACAUCCCAAAAACAUGCUUGGUAGGUUCAUUGGCGACUCUAAAUUCCCCGUAGGGGUGAAUGUGAGUGCGAAUGGUUGUUUGUUUCUCUGUGCCCUCCGAUUGGCUGAGUUCAGGGUGUACCCCGCCUCUCGCCCAGAGUCAGCUGGGAUAGGCUCCAGCACGCCCGUGACCCUAGUGAGGGUAAGCUGUACAGAAAAUGGAUAGAGGGAUAGAGUCACUGUUUUGUAAAUUCACCUGACAAAAACUAAAAGACUUGAGGCUCCAGUUGGACUUGAGACAUGAUGAAAAGUUCAGGUUAGUUCUCAGGGCAUUUAAUCGAUUGCAAAUGGACUGUUCCAGUUGUCUUUUUCUAUCAUCCACCUUGCUCUUGUCCCCUCAGGAACUAGAUGUACUUUUUACAAACGACCAGCUGGGGUAACCGCAGGUUUUGAGCAUCCUCUGCUGGGCCUUUUUGAGGACGGAGUUGAUGUUGAUCGGCCACUUCAGGUCCUGAGAGACUGUAAUUCCCAGGAACUUGAAGGUCUCGAUGGUUGACACAAGGCAGCUGGACAGCGUGAGGGGCAGCUGUGGCGAAGGAUGCCUCCUGAAGUCCAUGAUCAUCUCUACAGUCUUGAGCGUGUUCAGCUCCAGGUUGUGUCGGCCGCACCACAACUCCAGGCGCUCCACUUCCUGUCGACAACCUUGGGGCGCCCCAGUGCUGAUGCUGCGUGUGGAUGAGGUGGUCUCCCCCAGCCUCACCUGCUGUGUCCUGCCCGUCAGAAAGCUGUAAAUCCACUGGCAGAUGGCAGGCGAGAUGCUGAGAUGGAGAAGCUUGGAGGAAAGGAGUUCAGGGAUGAUGGUGUUGAAUGCUGAGCUGAAGUCCACAAACAGGAUCCUCGCGUAGGUCCCUGCAAUCCUGUUCGUGGAUGGUCAACGCAGAAGUCAGAGGUGUGAUUGUGGUCGGUGGUGCGGCUGGGUGGGUGUGGGGUGUGAAAGUGUCCUUUUCAAAUCUGCAGUAGAAGGUAUUCAAGUCGUUGGCUAGUUUGCUAUUGUUCUCAGCUUGGGGUGAUCGUCGCUUGUAAUUGGUCAGCGAUUGGAAUGCAUGCCAGAGUGAUUUAGAGUCGUUAGUGCUAAACUGUUUUACCAACCUUGCUGCAUAGUUUCUCUUUGCAAUGUUACUUUCUUUAGUCAGCUGGUUUCUAGCUCGAUUAUACAGGGCCCUGUCCCCGCUCUGAUAUGCGUCCUCCUUGGCUUGGCGAAGUUGCUUAAGUUUGGCAGUGAACCACGGCUUGUUGUUAUUGAAUGUGCGAAAUGACUUUGUUGGUACACACGCAUCUUCAUAGAAACUAAUAUAGGAUGUGACAGUGUCCGUAUAUUCAUCCAGGCUGCCAGCUGAAUUUUCAAAGACAUUCCAGUCUGUGCAAUCUAAACGGCUUUGAAGUUCUAUCUUUGCUUCUUCAUUGUUUUCACUGUAGGCUUCACGCAUUUAAGUUCUUGCCUGUAUGUCGUCGGUUACUCACUCUCUAGUAUUGUUUCUGUUUUUGUGUUUUUCAUUCGUCUUUGGAGACAUGACACGACUCACUUACACAAGGGGAGACUUGCUAACCAUCAAGGAGGCUACUCCGGACUUUCUUUCACCAACUUUCGCAAAUGCGCUCAGUUUUUUCCCCAAGUUACUCACCGGAGUGCGUGGGGGGUUCUUUCAGUACAGGAAUUGAAUCAGUACUUCUACUGUACUUUUACUUUACUUUUAUUUUUUUCCCCCACACAAGUAUCUGCAUGUGUACUUAAGAACAGAGUGUGAGUACUUCUGCCUCCUGUGGCUGUUUUGCACAUCUCUUUCAUGCCAUUAUUGCUGUCUUGGGUGUUUAUUACUUGCCACUGAAUGAUUUGCGCACAUUCCUCUGUUGGUGAUCAAUUCAGUUAAUAAUUAUUGCACGAUUUUGAGCUUACAUUCGCCUGUCUUUGGUGCGCGCAGCGUGGGUUUAGUUCCCACUCAGUGACGGUGUGAACGUGAAUGCUUGUCCAUCUCUUUACUGUGUGCGCCCUGCGACCGGUUCAGGGUGUAGUCUGCUGGCUUAGGCUCCAUUGCCCCGUGACCCUGAGCAGGAUAAGCGGUAUUGAGAAUGGUUGGCUGGAUUUAUAGGUUUCAAAAUUAAUUAAAUAAAUAAAUUACUAUACACAUUCGUGUCCCUCAAGAAGAAAUUCAACUCACACUCCGAUGUAUUAUUGUUGCACACCAUGCACACAAUCGAUUUGUGUACAUGUCCUAAAUGUACAGUAUAUUUUGUUACAGUGUCUUUUGUUUUUGUUUUUGCCGUAGUAAUAAAGUGACACCGUGUUUUAACAUA